rnacentral:rRNA from 1 species
AUUGAACGCUGGCGGCAGGCUUAACACAUGCAAGUCGAGCGGUAACAGAGAGAAGCUUGCUUCUCUGCUGACGAGCGGCGGACGGGUGAGUAAUGCCUAGGAAUCUGCCUAGUAGGGGGGGAUAACUUGCCGAAAGGUAAGCUAAUACCGCAUACGUCCUACGGGAGAAAGGAGGGGACCUUCGGGCCUUUCGCUAUUAGAUGAGCCUAGGUCGGAUUAGUUAGUUGGUGAGGUAAUGGCUCACCAAGACCGCGAUCCGUAACUGGUCUGAGAGGAUGAUCAGUCACACUGGAACUGAGACACGGUCCAGACUCCUACGGGAGGCGGCAGUGGGGAAUAUUGGACAAUGGGGGGAACCCUGAUCCAGCCAUGCCGCGUGUGUGAAGAAGGUCUUAGGAUUGUAAAGCACUUUAAGUUGGGAGGAAGAGCAGUUAACUAAUAUUUGACUGUUUUGACGUUACCGACAGAAUAAGCACCGGCUAACUUCGUGCCAGCAGCCGCUGUAA